rnacentral:rRNA from 1 species
GUAUACUAAAGUUGUUGCAGUUAAAAAGCUCGUAGUUGAAUUUCUGGUCGUGGCAGUCGGUCCGCCCCUCACGGGGUGUGCACCUGGCUUCUGCAGCCAUCCUCGCGGAGAGCGCGUCUGGCGUUAAUUCGUCGGGCGCGGGAUCCGCGUCAUUUACUGUGAGCAAAAUAGAGUGUUCAAAGCAGGCUUAGGCCGUUGAAUACAUUAGCAUGGAAUAAUAAGAUAGGACCUUGGUCUAUUUUGUUGGUUUGUACUCCAAGGUAAUGAUUAAUAGGGAUAGUUGGGGGUAUUCGUAUUCAAUUGUCAGAGGUGAAAUUCUUGGAUUUAU